rnacentral:rRNA from 1 species
CAGGUCUUCGGACGCUGACGAGUGGCGAACGGGUGAGUAAUACAUCGGAACGUGCCCAGUCGUGGGGGAUAACUACUCGAAAGAGUAGCUAAUACCGCAUACGAUCUGAGGAUGAAAGCGGGGGACCUUCGGGCCUCGCGCGAUUGGAGCGGCAGAUGGCAGUUUAGGUAGUUGGUGGGAUAAAAGCUUACCAAGCCGACUAUCUGUAGGUGGUAUGAGAGGACGACCAGCCACACUGUGAGUGAGACACGUCCCAGACUCCUACGGGAGGCCGCAGUGGGGAAUUUUGGACAAUGGGCGAAAGCCUGAUCCAGCAAUGCCGCGUGCAGGAUGAUCGCCUUCGGGUUGUAAACUGCUUUUGUACGGAACGAAAAAGCUCCUUCUAAUACAGGGGGCCCAUGACGGUACCGUAAGAAUAAGCACCGGCUAACUACGUGCCAGCAGCCGCGGUAAUACGUAGGGUGCGAGCGUUGAUCGGAAUUACUGGGCGUAAAGCGUGCGCAGGCGGUUAUGUAAGACAGAUGUGAAAUCCCCGGGCUCAACCUGGGAACUGCAUUUGUGACUGCAUGGCUAGAGUACGGUAGAGGGGGAUGGAAUUCCGCGUGUAGCAGUGAAAUGCGUAGAUAUGCGGAGGAACACCGAUGGCGAAGGCAACUCCCUGGACCUGUACUGACGCUCAUGCACGAAAGCGUGGGGAGCAAACAGGAUUAGAUACCCUGGUAGUCCACGCCCUAAACGAUGUCAACUGGUUGUUGGGAAUUAGUCUUCUCAGUAACGAAGCUAACGCGUGAAGUGACCGCCUGGGGAGUACG